UACAGAGGGUGCGAGCGUUAAUCGGAAUUACUGGGCGUAAAGAGCUCGUAGGCGGUUUGUCGCGUCUGCUGUGAAAACUCGGGACUCAACUCCGAGCUUGCAGUGGGUACGGGCAGACUAGAGUGCGGUAGGGGAGACUGGAAUUCCUGGUGUAGCGGUGGAAUGCGCAGAUAUCAGGAGGAACACCGGUGGCGAAGGCGGGUCUCUGGGCCGUAACUGACGCUGAGGAGCGAAAGCAUGGGGAGCGAACAGG
rnacentral:rRNA from 1 species